AGUGUUUAAUUGUGGCUUUUCUUAAAGUUUUAGAUAUUUGGUCUAUGAUAACCAUGGCAGGGACCAGGGCAGCAUUCCUGGAGCGGGACCAUUAACCAAGAGCUCCAUACUCAUCCCUAGGUUCUGAACUUAAAGGUGAAACUCUUCCUGACAACACAGUGUGCACAGCACUUAAAGUCAUCAGAAUAGAAAUAACCCAGAAGCUUCUUCCCUAAGGACUGGAUCACAUAGUAUCCUAAGAUGCUGUUAAAGUUCCAGUGAGAAAAUUAUGGAGUAUUCAAGUGAGAAAAACAUCAAUAGUCCUAUCCAGCUAUAAAACCAAUGAGACAUCACAAUGAUUACAAUGGCAAAAUGCCCUAAAGCUCAUGUUGAUGCAGUCAUCUUAUGCUCAGAACAGCUGGAAGAAUAGCCUUGAGGCUUAGGAAAAAGACUGAACACUCAUGGACUUCUUUGACAGCUGGCUACAUCUGGGAGAUGGAGUGACUAAAGAAACUUUCCUUUGGUGGGGACACUGCAAGAGUGAAUGGCAGGUACUGGAGGAGUACUCAGCGAUGAGUGGGUUUGGGAUGCAAGUUGAGAAAUUUGAAAAUAAUCAAUAAAAAAAGGAAAUUAAAAAUUUUCCUCAGACAUUGCAUGAUGAGCAAAGAAAAAGAAUGGAUCCCGGGGUCCAGAGAAGAGGAGCCUGAAUCCAAUCAGACAGUGUACACACAAUUUUGACAACGUAUCAGACCAACCUGCAGGAGAGUCUGGAACUGAGAUUAUAAACAUUGAGACAUUCACACCUGAACUGAGAAAGCCUAGCUAUGCAUGCUAUUUAUGUAUUUAUAACUAAACUUAAUACUAGGUCCCUAAAGACAGAUUGAUGGGGAGGUCUUGGCCCUCUGCCUAAUGUAGCAAGAUUGAAUAAUUAAUAUUUUGUGUUUUUCAGUUUUAUGUGUGUGCUUUAGUGUCAUUCUGCAGAUAUAUGACUGUGUUAGUCUGAAAAGGCUCGGUUUGCUGCAUGAAAUAUAAUUUGUUAACAAUUUAUAGAUGAUUAAGCAUUCUACCCAUACAUAUGCAGAUUUUUCCUUGAUAUCAUAACCUAAUACCAACUCAUCUAUACGGACACUUCAAAUCUCUACACUCUAUGGGUUUGGGAAAAUUUGGGGAGCAUCUGUUUCUUGAGUUAAUUGACUUUAUUUUCAUAAUAUGUUUUUCCCUUGUAAUUGGUUUUAUUUGGUUUUUAAAAUCAGGAGAUUGAUAACAUUUCUCUUGUGAAAGAGAACUGGUAGACCCUUCCUCAAAGUGCAGCACAAGAAUGGGUAUGAGGUGUGGCUUUUGCAAGCUGUUUUUGUUUUGUUUUUUUGACAUCACUUUUUAUUGUCCUCUAAAUAUGAGAUAAAAUCCAGAACACUGAAUGCCCCCAUAAGGUGUAAUAUUCAUGGUACAAUAGUAUUCAAGUCUGCCAAUAAGGGUAUAUUCAUGCUUCUUGGUUAUAAGAAUGGAAUGUGCCUUUGAGUACAGACAAGCCACUUUAACUUCAUGAAAGAAAACAAAAGAAAAAGUUAAAUAGAUGCUUAAAGUGCCUCCAUUAAAUUGGCCUUUGAAACAUCUUCUUGGGUAUUUUCCUGAUUGAUGGCUCAUGUGGGAAGGCCAAGCUUACUUGGGCAGUGAUAUUCCUGUGCUGAUGGUCCUGGGUGCUAUAAGAAGGCAAUUUGAGCAAGCCAUGAGGACUAAGUUAGUAAGGCUCAGUUGCUACUUCCAAGUUCAUUUCCAGUUUCCCUGAAUGAUUGACAGCAGCAAAACUUUCUCUUCAUGAUUGCUCCAUAGGAAAGAUUUAAUUAUUAGGAUUUUUUUUAAUUUCAAGACAGGGUUUCUCUGUUCAAUUUGAUUAUACUGGAAGUCACUCUGUAGAGCAGGCUGGCAUAGAACUCAAAGUGAUCUGCCUGCUUUUGCCUCUCAAGUGCUUGGAUUAAAGAUUCACCCUAUCAAUGAUAGGCUAUGAUUUACUUUAAGAUGUCUGUCAUAAUAAUUUUUCCCAGGAGAACAUGUAAUUCAUCUUAGCUUCACAUGUUCCUUUAAGUGUUUGGAAGUUUCAUUUGAAUUUUGAAACUUGCACCAGAAAUUAUGUGAUUAAAUUAUUCUUCAACCUUUGCCCCUUUGCAUGUGGCCUGGGCUGAUGACAGUACUCAUACUCUCUCUCUCUCUCUCUCUCUCUCUCUCUCUCUCUCUCUCUCUCUCUCACACACACACACACACACACACACACACACAGACAGACAACAUAUUUUGAAUUAUCCGUUGUGUUAAGUAAUCACAUAUUCACAGGCCAUCUAUAUCUUUUCUUUCUUCAGCUGUGUGAGUCUGGCACUAGUGUUCCUCCCUUAAAACAAAACCAAGCCAUGUUUCUGAAUUUACUUUUUUGGGGUUGAUAGUGUUUCUUUGUUGUGUGUGCAGCAUUAACUCCCUUGGGGAAAUAUAUGAAUUUGGGCAAAUAAACAAGAUUUUGAUGACUGAAACAGACUUUGGGGUCAAGAUUGGAAUGAGCAGUAAAUCUUGACUUUUAAGUGAAGACUCUGUCCUUUUGUCUCACCACCACUUCUAAUUAUGACUGGAUUCAAUCAGAUUUGGCCAAUUCUCUUGAACUGUAGAAAAAUAGAGCAUUCAGUUGUGCUGAAGUCAGGAACACAACUCAGGCUGAGGCUACUCUACUCUGAAUAUACCAAGGAGACAAUAACAGCAUUGGCAAAAUAUAAAUAUACAGUGAACCUGCCUGGGAUAAAUCUACCCCAAAUGAUGUGACAGACUUUAAUGAUUCCCCAUGGGAGUUCUUACCCUCUCUGAGGAGUGGAUGGAGGGUGGGAUGGGGAAAUGGUGGGGGAAUUGGGAUGAUAGAAGGGAAAGAGAACUGGGAUUAGUAUGUAUGUAAAAUAGUUUGGUUUUUAAUUAAAAUUUGAAAUUUUCAAUCGGAUGAAGACCAUACCAUAAGAUGUUUUUCUAAACUAUCUCUUCCUUGUUUUUUGUCUAAGUUUCUAUCAUUAUGCAAAGUUGUCUCCAAGAAAGCCUUUCAUAGGUCCCUUCAUCCCAUGGUGGACCAUCCUUAAUUUACAUUCAGAAAUCUGGCUUCAGGUACCCUGAGGUGUCAGGCUUACUUUGUUACUUAAGGCAACUUGCAGACUUGCCAAAGGAACAUUGUAACAUUUGCUGUAAUCACAGUCUGAUUUCCAGGAAAUUUAACAGAUGAUCUCCCACUUUUUAGCUCUUAAUGGGAAGCCUGAAUUUUGACAGAAUAAAAAUGUAUUUCAUUAUCCUAUGAAUCACUUUGUUGUAAAUAAAACAUGCUAGAAGGUAUCAAGUUUCUCCUUACAAUGUAAUUGAUUGCAGUUCUUUACUCUUUAACACAUCAAUGAAAUCCUAUAAUUUCUUUAAACAAUUGUUAGGACAGUGAUACAGAGAAUCAAUAUUGUAGCACUAACUGGUGUGAAAUAAGACCAUCAGGGUUGCAUACUAAGGAGUGAUACAAAUUAAUCAACAUAAAAAUGUCAAAACCUAUUGCAAGAAAACUAGUGACUAAGAGAGGAAAUUUGAUUUUUUUUAUUUUUUUCCUCACCUGACAAUUUUGAAAGUUUAAAUCAUAUAUAGGAGUUUACCCUGAAGUAUGUUAUGUGUGGCUUCAUUUUAUAUAAAGCCUCAUUCAUAUAAAUGUGAAGUAUAAUAAAUUAACUGGAAAGAAUGAAACCACAAUAUAAGUGUUCAUCAUUGUGGUUUCAGUUGUUUUUAAUGAACCACUUGUAUCUGAUAGGUCCAGAAUCAGAAUAUGCCUUCUGUAUUCUACACAUAUGGCUGUUCACUGCAGAUCAGGACUCCAGUGGAUGCUUUUCUCUUCAUAGUAGCUAACAUAGGGUGUGGAGGGGGUUUCUGUUCUCCCUGGUCCUGAAGCAGUUUACCCCAAAUAAACACACUGGGACUUAUAAUAAUCAUAAACUUUUUGGCUGAUGGCUCAGGCUUCUUAUGCAAUAGCUCUUUCUUAAUUAUUAAGAUAUUUCUAUUAAUCUAAGACUUUCCACUUGGUCAUCUCUUAAAGAGAAUGUCAGGACUUAAUUUCCCACUUGCUCCAUGGCAUCUCCCUCUCAGCUUCUUUGUGUUUCCUCUCCCCAAAAUACUCCUUGUCUGGUAGUCCCACCUAUAAUCAUUGCCUGGCUACUGGCCAAUCAGUGUUUUAUUCAUCAACCUAUAAGAGAAACAUAUAUACAGAAGGAAUCCCCCAUCAAUAGUAAUCAGCUAAGAUGUCCAUCAAGAGAUGAUUGAAUAAAUAACAUAUAGUACAAUGACACAGCAGAUUAUCAUUUAACUGUGGAGAAAAAAAGCUCUCAGCAUUUGCAGGAAAAUAGAACUAUCUAGAGAUUAUCAUGUUAAGUGAAGUAAGCUAGAUUUUGGCACAGAAUUAUAUUUCUUUCAAAAUACAGAGUGCAAGUUGAAGUAUAUAUGCAUGUUUGUCUGUGACUCUAUCUUUUUACCUGCCUCUCUGUCUGUCUUUGUUGCUGUGUCUCUGUCUUUCUUUCUGUAUAGAACUAGGACAUGGAAGUUGAAGUUAGUAUUAUGAACAGGGAGGAAAGAGUCUGUAAGAAGGAAGAAGAACAAGGGAGAAUGUGACAUGAAGCAGGACUCUCUGGAGGGAGAAAGGAGACUUGCCUAGUGUUGGAGAAUAAAGGCAGCAUGAGGCCUCCCCCUUGUAUACCAACUAAAAAAAUAAGGGGAAUUAAAAUUGGAAAAAUUAGGGCUAUACAUUUAGAGUCUACAUAUAUAAAAGUAUUUUCAUAAAAGCAAGGGUGUUUUGUCAUGGAAGUCAUACUAGAGUUGCGACAUGUAUUAGAAGUGCUUUUGGGAGAGAAUAUGAACCUUGAAAUAAUGAGAAAAACCUUCUAUUUACAUUGUAUUUUGCCUCCAUUUUUCAAAAUUGACAAUAGUUCUCUCUAUGUGGUUUUAGAUCACUGUAUUGUAUUUUGAUAUAUUGAUGGUGAUAAUUCUUGCUUUAUAAUAGGGCUAUAUCCCAACAAAUACAAGAUAAAUUGAAGAUACCAUAAGGCACAACUCGAUGUAAAAUGCUUGUUUACUGUAUUAUCCUUGCCUGUCAUAAUAAUGCUCUGAAUGCUUAUAGUAGCAUGUAGAUGGGUGAAACCUAGGAGCCAGCUAGGUAUAAUAAAUGCUUUAAUAUGUCCUUCAUA